GCGAGGGCAGCGCUGUUGAGCCGCCUAGUGACUGUCAGCCGAAAGUCGAAAAUCUAUAGUGUGGGUUAAGAAACCUAGGUUGCAGCACCUUCGCUGAAUACCGAAGCAAUCUCGAGCGAAGACGAAGAGUUUCCUCGUGAAAAAAACUUAAAAAAAAAACAAGUCAUGGCUGCUGCUCAAUCCAGUUCGAAAAUCGUUCAGUUAUUUCGACGAGGAUGUAUCGAGGUUCCUGAUAUUAUGAUAGGAAUGUGUCUUACAAUUUCGGGGAUUUGCUUAGCUAGUUAUGGAGUCUAUCGAUCGUCGAAGAUGGAAGUAUCAAGACCUUUUAAAGAUCAUUAUAUAGUUAAAAGAGAUGAUGAUCCAGAUGCAGCGAAAUAUAUCAGAUUUCAUCAGAAUCCAAAAUAUUAAUUUAGUGUAUUGUUGUAUCAUAGAGGAACACUUUUGAAUGAUAGAGAAUACAUUGUACAAGCUAA